rnacentral:rRNA from 1 species
GAAUGCUAAAAGAAUGGAAAUUUAAAAAAAAACUUUUUUAAAAAUAAAAAUUGAAUUUUUUUUAAUUUGUGCAAAAACAAUUAUAUUUAUUAAAGACAAGAAGACCCUAAGAAUUUAAGAUUUUACAAUUAAAAAGUUUUUUUUUUAAAAUCUUGAUUGGGGCGAUCAAAAAAUAUUAAUAACUUUUUAAAAUUUAAAUUGAUCUAUUAUUAAUAAACUAAUGAAUUAAAUACUCUAGGGAUAACAGCGUAAUAAUUUUUGAUAGAUCUUAUUGACAAAAUAGUUUGCGACCUCGAUGUUGGAUUAGGAUUCUUUUUUAAUGAAGAAGUUAAAAAAAGAAGUUUGUUCAACUUUUAAAUUCCUACUUGAUCUGAGUUCAAACCG